rnacentral:rRNA from 1 species
GUCCACGCCCUAAACGAUGCGCACUAGGUAUUGGGAGUAUCGACCCUCUCAGUGCAGUUAAAAAAGCAAACGCGUUAAGUGCGCCACCUGGGUAGUACGACCGCAAGGUUAAAACUCAAAGGAAUAGACGGGGACCCGCACAAGUAGAGGAUCAUGCGGUUUAAUUCGACGGUACGCGGAGAACCUUACCAAGGCUUGACAUAUAACUGCAUAUUUUUAGAAAUAGAAAUAGUCUUCGAGAGUGUUAUACAGGUGCUGCAUGGUUGCCGU